UACGUAGGGGGCGAGCGUUGUCCGGAUUCAUUGGGCGUAAAGAGCUCGUAGGCGGCUUGGCAAGUCGGGUGUGAAAACUCCAGGCUCAACCUGGAGAUACCACCCGAUACUGCUAUGGCUUGAGUUCGGUAGGGGACCACGGAAUUCCUGGUGUAGCGGUGAAAUGCGCAGAUAUCAGGAGGAACACCGGUGGCGAAGGCGGUGGUCUGGGCCGACACUGACGCUGAGGAGCGAAAGCGUGGGGAGCGAACAGG
rnacentral:rRNA from 1 species